rnacentral:rRNA from 1 species
UUUGACCUCGGAUCAGGUAGGGAUACCCGCUGAACUUAAGCAUAUCAAUAAGCGGAGGAAAAAGAAACCAACAGGGAUUGCCUCAGUAACGGCGAGGAGAA